rnacentral:rRNA from 1 species
UACGUAGGUGGCAAGCGUUGUCCGGAUUUACUGGGCGUAAAGAGCUCGUAGGCGGCCGUUCGCGUCGGAUGUGAAAGCUCAGGGCUCAACUCUGAGACGCCAUUCGAUACGGGACGGCUAGAGGUAGGUAGGGGAAAGUGGAAUUCCUGGUGUAGCGGUGAAAUGCGUAGAUAUCGAGAGGAACACCUGCGGCGAAGGCGGGUUGCUGGGCUGACACUGACGCUGAGGCGCGAAAGCUAGGGGAGCGAACGGG